GAGGGUGUAGCUCAGUGGCAGAGUGCAUGUUUAGCAUGCAUGAGGUCUUGGGUUCAAUUCCCAGUACUUCCA
rnacentral:tRNA from 1 species